UAUCUUCCAUUUGCUAGAUUGCAUAUACCUUUCUUACCACUUUGUCUGAACUAACACUUCUAUUGUAAUGAUUAGCAUUAGGAAACUCAGCUGUAAUAUCAUCAAGCCCCCCAGCAGUUGCAGGUAAGCUGCUCUUCUCCAAUGUUGCAAGGCUCGGUUUUGCUGCUGGACAUGAUUCUCCGUCAUUGAAGUUGGAGGAUGCUCUUCCCAAGAUUGGGGCAUCACAAAAUACUUCUGGUGAAACUGGGCCAAAGCAUGCUGGUACAUUGUCAUUUGCUAAUGUGACAUCUAGAGCUAAAACAGUUGAGGACCCCAAUGUCUCCAAGGCAAGUGAAGUGGGGAAGAAGGGGAAGAAGCCAAACCGUGUGCUCCUUUCAACAUCCAGUUCCCGACGAUAUUGAGACUUGAGAGAGGGGGGGAGUGUGCUACUUCUCCAGAAUGAGACUCCUGUAUAUUUUGAACUUUAUUUGUGUUGCAACUGCAUUAGUUGGGUUGUUGUCUACGGAUUACAUUGAGAAAACCGAUUGCAGGAUAGUCGUACGUUUAUUUUAAUUGUUUUUUUUUUCUUUAGGGAAUAAUGUUGCUGCUGUUAUUAGUAUUACUUCUGGUACUACGACUAUAGAAGAGUAAAUGGUGUUUAGUUUGUCAUUUAUGCAAUUUGCCAAUUGCCAGAUAGGUUAGAUGUAUGGAAUAUGGAAUACUUGCAGUAUGGAUUUUGAAUAAUUUAGCAGUAUGUUGGGAUUUAAUU